UCCUUACUUCCUUUGGUCAGGAUCCUGAAAUCUACCAUCUUAUGAUCACUGCUUCCCAGGUUGAUCAGUGCUUCCCAGGAGAAGUCAAACAUCCAGAGAGGCUGGCAAGAGUCAGGGCACAUGACUUACAAGAGAGGGGUGGGUGUGGCAAUGACACCACAAAGGCCUGUUGGCCAUCAUUGGUGGAGAAGUGGUGACCUCAUAGAGAGAGACUGACAUCAGCCAGGCAGGACAGAAGUGCAAGGCAGGGCCAACCUUAGAGACUCUCCUGGUGUUGCAGCAGCAAGGCCCCUUCUCAAGGUCUCUCCUUAGGGACUGAGACAGAAUUAGGAUUAAUGUACGUGAGCAUGAGGAGGAACCUCAUUCGAGUUUUCUCCUUCCCUACUACUGAUUUGGUAGUCCCUGCUUAGAAGGCUCUGCACAAGGCUUUGUCUGACCUCAGGCAUGCCAUGCUGGGGAACCACCUAGCAGAGUCCCCAGACACAGAAAGGCUCCAAUACAUCUUGAAGUGUGUCAACUUCUGCAUCAGAUCCAGAGUGUCCCAGGAGAGAGCCAAGGCGGUAAGGAACAGCAGAGCCCUGUUCUGAUUCACCAUCUACCUCCCUGAAUUUGACAACUCAACACAGUUCCCCAAACUAUGGAACUUGGUGGCUUAGCUGUGACUGUCAAUCAGUGACCCAAGCCAAGGACAUUGGCUGGCUGGCCAGGGUGUGGAUUUACUGACUCCACAAACUGCUGCUAUGACAAAGCCGCACCACCUGCACGUGCAGGGCGCACCACCCCACCUAGGACAUGCUCCUGCACCUGAGGGCUCCUCCGGACCACCAGCAUGCAGCAGGGGUACCGGGACCAGCACCUGGGGGCCCUGCGAGCCCUGCACCGCACCAUCCAGGCCUGGGUGCAGGAGGACCUGCAGCUCCUCCGGAAGCAGCUUGCCCAGGACUGUGCCAUGUGCUCACAC